UUUUUGGGUCCACAUUUAGUCCUCCGUGUUUGAAAUUCGAAGAAAUUUCAUCCAAAAACAGAAAUGAGGGGAAAAUCGUUCAUGUGUCAAUGAUUUUCUCUCCCCUUAUUCCCCACCUUUUUCUCAGACACCGGCAUCAUUUUCUCAAGCACCAUGUGUGCGUUCACCCUGCACACCAAGUACAUCCGCUAAGCAAGGGCGCGACCGCAGCUGGC
rnacentral:lncRNA from 1 species